rnacentral:rRNA from 1 species
AUUGAACGCUGGCGGCAUGCUUUACACAUGCAAGUCGAACGGCAGCACGGACUUCGGUCUGGUGGCGAGUGGCGAACGGGUGAGUAAUACAUCGGAACGUGCCCAGUUGUGGGGGAUAACUACUCGAAAGAGUAGCUAAUACCGCAUGAGAACUGAGGUUGAAAGCAGGGGAUCGUAAGACCUUGCGCAACUGGAGCGGCCGAUGGCAGAUUAGGUAGUUGGUGGGAUAAAAGCUUACCAAGCCGACGAUCUGUAGCUGGUCUGAGAGGACGGCGAGCCACACUGGGACGGAGACACGGCCCAGACUCCUACGGGAGGCAGCAGUGGGGAAUUUUGGACAAUGGGCGAAAGCCUGAUCCAGCAAUGCCGCGUGCAGGAUGAAGGCCUUCGGGUUGUAAACUGCUUUUGUACGGAACGAAAAGCUUCGGGCUAAUACCCUGGAGUCAUGACGGUACCGUAAGAAUAAGCACCGGCUAACUACGUGUCAGCCGCCGCCGUAACAC